rnacentral:lncRNA from 1 species
UAGGGACUUCGCUCCCUCUGGAGGCUGCUGUGUCAGCCUGCUAGACGGAGUCCCUCCAGAGAUCAAACUCAAGUCAUCUCAAGAACACUCCUUGGGCCUUGGUGAUGAGUGUCCUGAAGUUGACCAGGUGACUUCAGUCUGUCUGGAGUGUUGGGUUUACGGUGAGUGAUGCCACACCAAGCUUCAACUGGUGCUGGAGACUGAACUCGGGGCUCACCAGAGCCCUCAUCCAGUGGCUGAUGGAAGCAGAGACUGACAUCCACAGAUAUACACUGAGCUGAAAUCUGGAAUUUAGUUGAAGAGAGGGAGGAAUGAAGAGCGAAGGGGUCUGUACCAGGUUGGAGAAACCCACAGAAACAGUUGGCCUGAACAAGGGGGAGAACAUCGACCCCAGAUGCUGUCCAGGAGGCCAGUACAACACUGAUCCAGACCCCUGAACAUGGAUGUCAAUAAGGAGGCCUCUGCACUCCAGGGAGCCUGUGGUGAUGGAUUAGCAUUUUUCCCUGGUGUAAGAAGGAACUUUGAGAGCCCAUCCCACGUGAAGGGAUACACUCUGGCCCUGGACACAUGGGGAAGGGCCUAGGCCCAGCACAGGAAGAUUUGGUGGACUUUGCAGAACUCCCGUUGAGGGCUCUACCCUGCAUGGGGAGUGGUGGGUGGAU